UACGGAGGAGGCAAGCGUUAUCCGGAAUUAUUGGGCGUAAAGCGUCCGCAGGUGGCUAUUCAAGUCUGCGGUCAAAGACUGGGGCUUAACCCUGGAAAGGCCGUGGAAACUGAAGAGCUAGAGUGCAGUAGGGGGUAGAGGGAAUUCCCGGUGUAGCGGUGAAAUGCGUAGAGCUCGGGAAGAACAUCGGUGGCGAAAGCGCUCUGCUGGACUGCAACUGACACUCAGGGACGAAAGCUAGGGGAGCGAAUGGG
rnacentral:rRNA from 1 species